GACGAACGCUGGCGGCGUGCUUAACACAUGCAAGUCGAACGAUGAACUGGAGCUUGCUCCAGGGAUUAGUGGCGAACGGGUGAGUAACACGUGAGUAACCUGCCCUUGACUCUGGGAUAAGCGCUGGAAACGGCGUCUAAUACCGGAUACGAGCUUCAGCCGCAUGGCUAGGAGUUGGAAAGAAUUUUGGUCAAGGAUGGACUCGCGGCCUAUCAGCUAGUUGGUGAGGUAAUGGCUCACCAAGGCGACGACGGGUAGCCGGCCUGAGAGGGUGACCGGCCACACUGGGACUGAGACACGGCCCAGACUCCUACGGGAGGCAGCAGUGGGGAAUAUUGCACAAUGGGCGCAAGCCUGAUGCAGCAACGCCGCGUGAGGGAUGACGGCCUUCGGGUUGUAAACCUCUUUUAGUAGGGAAGAAGCGAAAGUGACGGUACCUGCAGAAAAAGCACCGGCUAACUACGUGCCAGCAGCCGCGGUAAU
rnacentral:rRNA from 1 species